rnacentral:rRNA from 1 species
CGUGAGGAACCUGCCUUGGAGAGGGGAAUAACACUCCGAAAGGAGUGCUAAUACCGCAUGAUGCAGUUGGGUCGCAUGGCUCUGACUGCCAAAGAUUUAUCGCUCUGAGAUGGCCUCGCGUCUGAUUAGCUAGUAGGCGGGGUAACGGCCCACCUAGGCGACGAUGCGUAGCCGACCUGAGAGGGUGACCGGCCACACUGGGACUGAGACACGGCCCAG